UUCAACACCAUGAACGUAAUAGAAAUUAUUGGGUUUCUGCCACACAGGGACUUUGUGAAGGGGCAGGAUCCACAAGACCAUGGAGAUGAGGUUCUCCCUGGCUUUUCUUCCCAGUAAAAGGCUUUGGGAAGACCUUUCAGUCCUCUGAAAUGGCAGCUGAGCAGGCAGGGAGCAGUGCUGCCAGGUGAGAUGAAGUCCUCUCUUUUUACUCCUCAUACUUUUCAUCAGCUUCAUUACUGAUUACAGCAUCCCCUUUCAGAUGAUGUGGCCCAAAACCACAUGUGUACAUAGAGAGAGACAGGACAGUGCUCAGUGUUCCAGGCUGGAAGCUGGGACUGCUCUGGGACAAUCAGAUUCAGCGUUGACAGGGGUUGUUCUGAAUGUAACAGGAUCCCAUGGCAGAUGUAAACGCAGACUCCAGGCAUUUGCUGUGUGUUUCACCGAGGAGGUCAGUGUAUGAAUUUGCCUGUGAAAACAUUGAUGCUGGCUGCCAGCAUUACCCAUUCAAGAGCCGGGUGCUUUUCUCGGUGACAAAUGACGUGGUGUUAGUUUGUGA
rnacentral:lncRNA from 14 species